rnacentral:rRNA from 1 species
UACGUAGGGCGCAAGCGUUGUCCGGAAUUAUUGGGCGUAAAGAGCUCGUAGGCGGCUUGUCACGUCGGAUGUGAAAGCCCGGGGCUUAACUCCGGGUCUGCAUUCGAUACGGGCUAGCUAGAGUGUGGUAGGGGAGAUCGAAUUCCUGGUGUAGCGGUGAAAUGCGCAGAUAUCAGGAGGAACACCGGUGGCGAAGGCGGAUCUCUGGGCCAUUACUGACGCUGAGGAGCGAAAGCGUGGGGAGCGAACAGG